rnacentral:pre_miRNA from 1 species
AAUAAACCAAUCUUUUACUUUUUUUGUUACAAUGUUUGACGCUUCAUCUUAUCUAACAAUACGAUUAAUAUUUUUGUUUUUAUUAGAUGAUAAAUCAUGAAUAGUACUUUACGUAUGACUAAUUUUUUUUAAUUUUUUGAAAAAUUUUCAAAUAAAACGAAUAGUCAAACGUUAGACACAGAUGGUUAAAAGUUUGCACAGAGC